GUGAACGCUGGCGGUAGGCCUAACACAUGCCAGUCGAACGGCAGCACAGUAAGAGCUUGCUCUUACGGGUGGCGAGUGGCGGACGGGUGAGGAAUACAUCGGAAUCUACUUUUUCGUGGGGGAUAACGUAGGGAAACUUACGCUAAUACCGCAUACGACCUACGGGUGAAAGCAGGGGAUCUUCGGACCUUGCGCGAUUGAAUGAGCCGAUGUCGGAUUAGCUAGUUGGCGGGGUAAAGGCCCACCAAGGCGACGAUCCGUAGCUGGUCUGAGAGGAUGAUCAGCCACACUGGAACUGAGACACGGUCCAGACUCCUACGGGAGGCAGCAGUGGGGAAUAUUGGACAAUGGGCGCAAGCCUGAUCCAGCCAUACCGCGUGGGUGAAGAAGGCCUUCGGGUUGUAAAGCCCUUUUGUUGGGAAAGAAAGGCAGCAGGUUAAUACCCCGCUGUUCUGACGGUACCCAAAGAAUAAGCACCGGCUAACUUCGUG
rnacentral:rRNA from 1 species